rnacentral:rRNA from 1 species
AGUGAACGCUGGCGGUAGGCCUAACACAUGCAAGUCGAACGAGUGGCGGACGGGUGAGGAAUACAUCGGAAUCUACUCUGUCGUGGGGGAUAACGUAGGGAAACUUACGCUAAUACCGCAUACGAUUGAAUGAGCCGAUGUCGGAUUAGCUAGUUGGCGGGGUAAAGGCCCACCAAGGCGACGAUCCGUAGCUGGUCUGAGAGGAUGGUCAGGCAAAACGGAACGGAGACAAGGUCCAGACCCCGAAGGGAGGCAGCAGUGGGGAAGAUUGGACAAAGGGAGCAAGCCUGGUCCAGCCAUAACGGGUGGGUGAAGAAGGCCUUCGGGUUUUAAAGCCCUUUUGGUGGGAAAGCGGUACCCAAAGAAUAAGCAACGGCUAACUUCGUGCCAGCCGCCGCGGUAAUAC